rnacentral:misc_RNA from 1 species
AACAAGGCGUACCUGCGGACCUGCGGAGGGAUCAUUACCGAGUGUGAACCCCCCCGUAAAAAAGAGGGGUUACCUCCCGUCCUUUGCUGGGAACCCCUUUCCAACUUGGAAGGAGGUUGUUUUCAGACCCUUCUGCUUCGGUGGGGUAACCCACCGGAACAACCUCAAAAAUAUUCUCAAUUCAAAACCGUUCAGUCCGAGAACUUUUUUGAAAAGCGAAAAAACUUUUAGCAACGGAUC